GGUCUGAUCUUGUUUCUCUGUAGUGCUAACAUUCCAUUGUCUGGAUUUAUCACGGUUUGUUUAUCCAUUCAUUUAUCGAGGGGCAUCUUGGCUGCCUUCAAAUUUUGGCAAUUGUGAAUAAAGCAGCUAGAAACACUUGUGUGCAGGUUUCUGUGUGGACCUAAGUUUUUAAUACAUUUGGGUAAAUACCUUGGAGCAGAAUUGUGAGAUGAUAAGAGGAUAUUUAGUUUUUCCUUUUAUUAUUUUGUCUUUGGUUGUGCUGGGUCUUAGUUGCUGCAUGGGCUUUUUCUAGUUGCAGCAGGUGGGGCCUAUUCUCUAAUUGUGGUGUGUGGGCCUUUCAUUGCGGCGGCUUCUGUUGAGGAGCACGGGCUUUAGGGUUUGCAGGCUUCAGAAGUUGUGGCACUCAGGCUUAGUUGCUCUGCAGCAUGUAGAAUCUUCCCAGACCAGGGAUCGAUCCCGUGUACCCUGCAUUGGCAAGAGGAUUCAUAACCACUUGUGCUCCAGGCUUUGCCGAACGGGCACCGCCAUCAUCGGAACAUCGACCUGCACUUGGCCCAUGGGCCGGCUCUGCUCAUCCCCGGCCCAGCCUGUCCGCCUCCUGCCUUCAUGCACGACCUUGGAAGCCUCACUUCUGAGACUCAGGGGUCCUCGGCCACGCUUUCCCCACAGACCUCUCCACCACCCAUCCCAUCCCAUC
ensembl:lncRNA